CAACAUCUUCUUCACUUGUCAUGCUUCUAUAAAAGGGGUAUGAUUUCCACUCUACUUCCCAGACAGGAGAAAUUGUCGGAUGAUGGAAUGAACACUUUGGACUUCUCCCUGGCCCUCCCUCCUGCCUUCCCAGGGAUGAAAGAGCCUGUUGACAAAUUGGGUGAUGGAACUGGUGCCCUCUACUCACCUAAAAGAAUCAGAAGGUAGCUGGAAGCAGACAACCACAGUGAUGUAGAGCCUGGAGCACACAGUAUGGAAGAGAAGCACCGAAGAGAUAUGGGUGGGGAAAAAUGGAGAAGAAUAGAGACCGUGACUUCCGCUGAUCCUCAGUUUGAGAUGACCUGUUUAGGAUGGAAUUUCCCAGCCUUCUGUCCCAGCCCCUGCUUCUGUUUUCACACCUUCCUGCUGCCCUCUUCAAGUAUCCGUGGAGAGGAUUUGGAAAGAGGAGGCUGCGUGUUGCAGGCGCGGCCCCAGCUCGGCUGGGGGGGCCCAGAUCGGCAA
rnacentral:lncRNA from 1 species